GAGAGGUGCUGGGGAGAUGAGAGGCCCCUUUGCAGCCAAACAUGGGGAGAGAGGAGCUUAAGAGAGAGAGAGAGAGAAUCUCAAGCAGACUCCCCUCUGAGUGCAGAACCCAACUUGAGGCUCAAUCUCAUGACCCUGAGACCAUGACCUGAGUCAGAAUCAAGAGUUCCAUGCUUAACCGAGUGAGCCACCCAGGCGCCCCACCCAAUUUCGAACACAUACGAUGCAUUGCAAAGAAAGGAGAAUAUGAAUUUCACUUCAGGAUGCAGCUUCCUUGGUCCCUGUUUUUUGCACAUGAUCAGUUGAUCUCCUUUGAUGUAUCUUGGGGUGGCCGUCCUGGCAGCAGCUACCAGACAAGCCCUCAGAGACCCGGCUUCCUCAGAUGACCUUGGACUUCCAGCAUUUCAUCUCCUCUCUUGUCUUCCACCCCAGGAGAGAGAGAGAAAGGGAAGAGAGAAUGAACAAGCAGGGGCAGGAGCAGAGGGAGAAGCAGAUGCUGAGCUGAGCAGAGAGCCUGAUGUGAGGCUCGAUCCCAGGACCCUGAGAUCAUGACUUGAGCCGAAGGCAGCCACUUAACCUGCUGAGCCACCCAGGUGCCCCACAUUGCUUGCUUUAGAAGAAACUAGACUGAGACAAAGGAAUCAAGUAAAAAUCAGGAAUGGUAUAUAGGACUCGCUGGAAGCCAAGCUGGUUUGUGACAUCUGGGACACUAGACCUGCUACGUCAGCUGCUAUGAACGGCGGAACUGUUUUAAGUGACUACACUCAAAACUACUCCUUCCCCAGGGUUUUGAUAAUUCCUCCCGCCAAUUAUAGCACUUUGCGGAGAUUAACUAAUUAAUACUCCCCACACACCCAAGAGACAAAAUUAAAGAUAAUUCUUUCACACGUGUAAAGCACUUUUAUCUAAGGAUUACUAGCACCGAGGCAUUUAUCUCCCAUGACAACGUUGCAAGUCUCAGAGAUGACAAAGAAGAUCGUUACCAUUUCGGGAACUGGGAACAAAGAAAACUCUCCCCUCCAGGACCCAGAAGAGGACAUUGGGGGGGGGGGUGGUGUCACAGAACAGGUACACGUUGGCAAGAUUGGCACUGGAGUGCUAUGUCUGCGUUCCUGGGGUCCGAAUGGGAAUGUCCGGGUGGGGCUGUGACCCCCUCUGGCCACCUUUCUUCAUGCUGUCCAUAAAACCCCAGGGAGCUGCAGAGCGAGAGGUGGUUCCACAGGGGUAUCCCAGCCCGUGUUUGGCUUCCUCCUCUCCCCCCUUGUCUCCAAAAUGCGGGUUCCUGAUUCUAUUUGCCAAGUUCUGUCUGUCACUGAGAUGAAGUGGAGCCAGUAGGCCAACGCCGUGGGGAAGGGAGAGCCUGAAACCAACAUUGCAAACGGAGGACCUCCAGGGAGAGGAGUAACAGAGUUGUGGCUGGUGGUACUGUGGAGCGCUUCUAGAAGAUUUACGUGUAGCACCUGCUUCACUUGCUUCUGAGAAAGUCUUUGUUCCUAGAUGUCCACUCUCUCCCCCUGGAGCCGGCCAGAAUGGUGACAACCAGAGAGCCUGGGAAACCUCAUGCUGAAGUCCGUGGAGCUGCUGUCAGGCUGGCUCUGCCACUACCUGCAACUCUUUAGUUUAGCAGCCUAGUGUAAUGAGGUCAUAUGACAUUUUCUGUUUUCUUCCAUAAGUUUUCAAGUUUUCCUUUUCACAUCUAGAUCUUAAAUCUGCUUGGCCUUGGCUGUUAUGAUGGCCAUAAAUUAUAGAGUCUUUUUUCAAAUGA